rnacentral:rRNA from 1 species
UUGGAGGGCAAGUCUGGUGCCAGCAGCCGCGGUAAUUCCAGCUCCAAUAGCGUAUAUUAAAGUUGUUGCAGUUAAAAAGCUCGUAGUUGAAUUUCGGGAUCAAUAUGUUGGUCGUGCCUUGGUACGUACUAGUUUAUUGGUUUCUUCCUUCUGACGAACCAUGAUGUCAUUAAUUUGGUGUCUUGGGGAAUCAGGACUGUUACUUUGAAAAAAUUAGAGUGUUUAAAGCAGGCUCACGCUUGAAUACAUUAGCAUGGAAUAAUGAAAUAGGACGUUUGAUUCUAUUUUGUUGGUUUCUAGGAUCGACGUAAUGAUUAAUAGGGAUAGUUGGGGGCAUUAGUAUUCAAUUGUCAGAGGUGAAAUUCUUGGAUUUAUUGAAGACUAACUACUGCGAAAGCAUUUGCCAAGGAUGUUUUCAUUAAUCAAGAACGAAAGUUAGGGGAUCGAAGACGAUCAGAUACCGUCGUAGUCUUAACCAUAAACUAUGCCGACUAGGGAUCGGAUGAUGUUAAUUUUUUAAUGACUCAUUCGGCGCCUUACGGGAAAC